UCUACCCUCCCUACCUUUUCAUUUACUUUUUUAACACAGAACAACCCCACUUCCUACCCUCCUUUUUCCCCUGCCAUUGACCUGCUGAAGACUGUUCUCCCUUGGAGUAAGCCAGUCUUCCACCCCUCAGCACCAGCUCCCAUGAGCAGGGGUGAAGAUGUAGAGCUGGAUUCGGAAUUCCCUUAUGGUUGUUGCUGAAGUACAUCUUGCAAUCAUAAGAACCGCAAGAGCCAGUCCAACCACAUUGACUCCACUGAGGGAAAUGUCUGUGGGGGCUUGCCCAUGAGUAGUCUAGGCCCAGGCAUUCCUUGGAGAUGUGGCGGGUUUGGUUCCAGAUCACUGCAACAGAGUGAAGUUCACAAUAAACUGUCCUCCCCACCCUGCCCUCAACCACAACCACUGGAAUUCCCAUUGCCCAUCUGAGCUGUGUGCCAGCUCCCCUGUGACUUGAUGGAUGACUUAGGUGGAGGGAAUCAAGGACCCAGGUGAUCCAGAGAUACUGGAAAGCUCACCGACAGUGGUAAUGGGCUGAUUGAAAGGCAGGAAGCCCCAGGAUCCUCGAGUGAAGCCCUGGCCAUGGAAGAUA